rnacentral:rRNA from 1 species
GGACCCGCACAAGCGGUGGAUGAUGUGGAUUAAUUCGAUGCAACGCGAAAACCUUACCUACCCUUGACAUGUCAGGAAGCUCCAAGAGAUUGGAGUGUGCUCGAAAGAGAGCCUGAACACAGGUGCUGCAUGGCUGUCGUCAGCUCGUGUCGUGAGAUGUUGGGUUAAGUCCCGCAACGAGCGCAACCCUUGUCAUUAAUUGCCAUCAUUCAGUUGGGCACUUUAAUGAGACUGCCGGUGACAAACCGGAGGAAGGUGGGGAUGACGUCAAGUCCUCAUGGCCCUUAUGGGUAGGGCUUCACACGUCAUACAAAUGGUCGGUACAGAGGGUAGCCAAGCCGCGAGGCGGAGCCAAUCCCAGAAAGCCGAUCGUAGUCCGGAUUGCAGUCUGCAACUCGACUGCAUGAAGUCGGAAAUCGCUAGUAAUCGCGGAUCAGCAUGCCG